AAAGGGGUCUAGGGAUUGUAGGCAUGUGGGGAUAAAAGCGAGCCAUAGCGGAAGGAGGUAUUUGUGUCGAUUUCUUCCUUCGAGGUGGUUUCGAAAUUCGCUCGCACAGUGCGGCGUACGCAUCGUGCGUAAAAGCUCCGUAAUCGAUUGUUGUGCUAACUCGCCUUCGGCAUAACUGCGGUGCCACCGCAACCGCCACUUGACUGCGGGGUGCCUGGAACCCUGUAGCCACUAGUCAGCUGCUACCGGGACUGCUUGCAUCUGGAGGGUCUUUUUCGAAGCACUGGCGUGGCUCUGAGAUCUAGAUUUGCAAGGCCAGUGACAGAGGUCAAUUUCAAGAUGUUUGAAGGUGUUGUUGCGCACCUUCUAAACAAGUAUCUAGGGAAAUACAUAAAAGAUCUUGACAGUGAGAACCUCAAUGUAGGAAUAUUU